rnacentral:misc_RNA from 1 species
GAUGAAGAACGUAGUGAAAUGCGAUACGUAAUGUGAAUUGCAGAAUUCAGUGAAUCAUCGAGUCUUUGAACGCACAUUGCGCCCCCUGGUAUUCCGGGGGGCAUGCCUGUCCGAGCGUCAUUGCUGCCCUCAAGCACGGCUUGUGUGUUGGGCCUCCGUCCUCCUCCCGGGGGACGGGCCCGAAAGGCAGCGGCGGCACCGCGUCCGGUCCUCGAGCGUAUGGGGCUUCGUCACCCGCUCUUGUAGGCCCGGCCGGCGCUUGCCGACACAUCAAUCUUUUUUCCAGGUUGACCUCGGAUCAGGUAGGGAUACCCGCUGAACUUAAGCAUAUCAAUAAGCGGAGG